AUUGAACGCUGGCGGCAGGCCUAACACAUGCAAGUCGAACGAGUGGCGGACGGGUGAGUAAUGUCUGGGAAACUGCCCGAUGGAGGGGGAUAACUACUGGAAACGGUAGCUAAUACCGCAUACCAUCGGAUGUGCCCAGAUGGGCUUAGCUAGUAGGUGGGGUAACGGCUCACCUAGGCGACGAUCCCUAGCUGGUCUGGGAGGAUGACCAGCACAACUGGAACUGAGACACGGUCAGGACGCGUACGGGAGGAAGCAGUGGGGAAUAUUGCAAAAGGGGCGCAAGCCUGAUGCAGCCAUGCCGCGUGUAUGAAGAAGGCCUGCGGGUUGUAAAGUACUUUCAGCGAGGAGGCGUUACUCGCAGAAGAAGCACCGGCUAACUCCGUGCCAGCAGCCGCGGUAAUUC
rnacentral:rRNA from 1 species